UUUGUACUCCCUCCGUCCCAAAACUCUUGUCUUAAUUUUUUCUAAAACGGAUGUAUCUAGUUACAUUUUAGUGUUAGAUACAUCCGUAUCUAAACAAAUGUAAGACAAGAAUUAUGGGACGGAGGGAAUACUAC
rfam:Triticum aestivum genome assembly, contig: Triticum_aestivum_CS42_TGACv1_scaffold_503411_6BL